GCAUAUCAAUAAGCGRAKSAAMAMRRWAYCAACAGGRMUUGCCUCAGUAACGGCGAGUGAAGCGGCAACAGCUCAAAUUUGAAAUCUGGCCCUUUCAGGGUCCGAGUUGUAAUUUGUAGAGGAUGCUUCGGGUUCGGCUCCGGUCUAAGUUCCUUGGAACAGGACGUCACAGAGGGUGAGAAUCCCGUAUGUGACCGGCCGCCACGCCCAUGUGAAGCUCCUUCGACGAGUCGAGUUGUUUGGGAAUGCAGCUCAAAAUGGGUGGUAAAUUUCAUCUAAAGCUAAAUAUUGGCCAGAGACCGAUAGCGCACAAGUAGAGUGAUCGAAAGAUGAAAAGCACUUUGGAAAGAGAGUUAAACAGUACGUGAAAUUGUUGAAAGGGAAGCGCUUGCAACCAGACUUGCCCGCAGGUGAUCAACCGGUAUUCUUACCGGUGCACUCGCCUGUGGUCAGGCCAGCAUCGGUUUGGGCGGCUGGAUAAAGUCCUCUGGAAUGUAGCUCCCUCCGGGGAGUGUUAUAGCUGGAGGUGCAAUGCAGCCCGCCUGGACCGAGGACCGCGCUUCGGCUAGGAUGCUGGCGUAAUGGUUGCAAGCGACCCGUCUUGAAACACGGACCAAGGAGUCUAACAUCUAUGCGAGUGUUUGGGUGUCAAACCCAUGCGCGUAAUGAAAGUGAACGGAGGUGGGAACCCCUGAGGGUGCACCAUCGACCGAUCCUGAUGUCUUCGGAUGGAUUUGAGUAAGAGCAUAGCUGUUGGGACCCGAAAGAUGGUGAACUAUGCCUGAAUAGGGUGAAGCCAGAGGAAACUCUGGUGGAGGCUCGCAGCGGUUCUGACGUGCAAAUCGAUCGUCAAAUUUGGGUAUAGGGGCGAAAGACUAAUCGAACCAUCUAGUAGCUGGUUCCGGCCGAAG
rnacentral:rRNA from 1 species